rnacentral:rRNA from 1 species
CAAUAGCGUAUAUUAAAGUUGUUGCAGUUAAAAAGCUCGUAGUUGAAUUUCUGGCGGGCGCGCCGGUCUUCCAGGUGUUGUACUGGGCGCAGUCCGCCAUCCUUGUGGAGAGGGCUCGCAUUGAGUUGCGUGUCGGAUCUGCGUCAUUUACUGUGAAAAAAUUAGAGUGUUUAAAGCAGGCUGUCGCUUGAAUACAUUAGCAUGGAAUAAUAAGAUAGGACUUCGGUCUAUUUUGUUGGUUGCGAACCGAGGUAAUGAUUAAUAGGGAUAGUUGGGGGUAUUCAUAUUUAAUUGUCAGAGGUGAAAUUCUUGGAUUUAUGAAAGAUGAACAACUGCGAAAGCAUUUACCAAGGAUGUUNUCAUUAA